UCCACUUCUGCUACCUUCAAGUUUCCGACACACGGGGAAAUUAAAUAAGGUAAUUUAUGAAACCCUAAAAUUAACUCGAAGAUUGAUUUCUAGUUGUGCCAUGAGAUUUUCGCAUAAUCUGUACUUUGCAUAUGCAUCACUCCGCUAUAUUUGAUUUCUGUUUUCGAUUCUACUGCUUAGUUACUCUCUGUUUUGUUGAAGAG